rnacentral:rRNA from 1 species
UACAGAGGGUGCAAGCGUUGUUCGGAAUUAUUGGGCGUAAAGCGCGUGUAGGCGGCAGUGCAAGUCGGGUGUGAAAGCCCUCGGCUCAACCGGGGAACGGCCUCGGAUACUGGCGGCCUGGAGGGGGGUAGGGGCGUGCGGAACUGUGGGUGGAGCGGUGAAAUGCGUUGAGAUCCACAGGAACUCCGGUGGCGAAGGCGGCACGCUGGACCCUUUCUGACGCUGAGGCGCGAAAGCCAGGGGAGCGAACGGG